UUUUUUUUAUCUUUUACUAAUGAAUUGAACUUAAGCAAUUAUAAAAAAAAAACACUCCAAUUCCAUUUGCUAUAACAAAAAUUAGAAUUUAGACAGAAUAUUAUUAAGCAACUGGAAUUUAACUCGUGGUAUACCACAGGGCAAAUAUUUUAUUUUUAUAAAUAAUAUUAUUAAAUUUUAAGAUUUUAGUUUAAUAUUAAAAUUAUAUAAUUUAUAUUAAUAUUAUAAUUAAAAAAUUUGGUGAUGAUAAAAUAAUAAAAUAAAUAUUGAAUCUGUGUUUCUAAAACAGUCCUGCUAUAUUUCAUAUCAAUCCAAAUCCGUCAUGCUAUAUUUUUCGUCUCAUGAUAUUUUUUUUUUUAUAAGUUUAAAUAUUAGUUGUGGAAUUAAUUUUGAUUAUGAUUUUAUACCGAAAAAGUUAUGGACUAUUAAUUCUAUGGAAUAUUCAAACCAAAAUAAAGAAUGUUUUUAGGUGCACAUAUAAUUGGGUUUGCUCAUUUUCCGGGAUCGUAAAUGUAUUUUUUGGUUUGUUUCACAUUUGUUUUAAUUUAUUGCCGAAAUUUAAUACAAAUAAUUCAAAUAGUUCAAAUUUUGGUUGUUUUAAGAUUUAGUAAAUAUUGUAGGUAAAAUAAGGAAAAGUUAAAUUAUUGUGUUUUGCGUGACAUAUGGGAUUGCCAUAUAUUUAGAAUCUUUUUGGUUUGUUACACAAUUAAUUGUCGUAUAAAAAUUCAAACCAUUAAUUAAAAAAAAUCAAAUAAUUUAAAUCCAUUGGCAGCCAUUGUAAAUAAGUUCUAACUUUAAGAUUUAUUUCAUAAAAUGGAUAUAAAAAUGUAUAUGUAGAUCCUACAAAUAAAUCUAUUAUCUAACUAUAAAAAUUCACGUCCAAAAAAAUACAUCAUAGCCAGGCCUGAUCAUAGGUAUAAAAUUAGGGGGAUUUAGCAAUUCUAAAAUUAAUCUAUUAUCUAACAAAAUUGGAUAUUUAUAAUUUAACAAAAAAAAAAAAAAAAAAAAAUUGAUAUUCAUAAACUACUAUUAUAGAAAAUAAUUUAUUCUUUUGCCAAAUCCUUCUUUCUGAUU
rnacentral:sRNA from 1 species